rnacentral:lncRNA from 1 species
AGAUCUUCAGCUGCAGCUCAGGGGGAUCCACCACGUCACACAGGGCUCCUAGUCCAAGAGCUGCUGGGAGAAUCAGGGACCUGGCUCAUAGGGAUCAUUGAGAGAAUAAUCCUCUCAGCUGCUGAGCACUGGUGCCCCCUGCCCCAUCUGGUUGACUCUUACUCCAGGGUGCUAUAAAAAUAGCAUUUUCCAUGUGUGCCAUGAAGGCAAAAAGGUUGGGAAGGGCUGAUGGAAUGAAUACUCACUAGCCCACUGUGCAUGUUCCAGAGUCAGGGCUAGGAGACUUGCGCAUGUUGACUUAUUUAGCUUUCACAACACACCCAUGGCAGGAAGUUUGUGAUUCCUAUUUUUCUCAUGAGAAAAACAAGCCCAGAGGUUAAGUCCCUACCCAAGGCCACAGAGAUGGAAAGUGAUAGUAUCAUGGGACUCCAGCCCCAGAGAUCUAAGCUGAGCCAGAGCCCCUGGAUCAGGGAUACUCACAGGAUGUAGGUGAUGACGCCUAUGCUCCUGCAAAAUAAAGAACAGUCAAGUCAGGGCCACCUGGGUCCCAUCCCCGACCAGCAAGGGACACCCUCAUGGAUCUAAGGGGAAGAGGUCACUUGCCUCCUCCACAGCAGACCCUGGAUGCCGUCUCAUGCUCCACACCCAUCUCCAUCCUGCUCUUCAGCAGCAGCCCGGGGUGUGUUUGGAGUCAUCGAGCUCUGAACCCUGAGUCCGAAGACCCAAGUUCAAGAUCAGACUCCUGCACUUGCAGGCUGUGUGAUUUAGAUGACACUUUUUAAAAGCUUGGAGAUCAUGGAGGCAAAAAAGAGGACAGUAGCUUGAGAAGGAGGAAGGACUGAGCCCAUUCAACUGCGAAUGGAAAAGGUGGAGAGUGGGAAAGUGUGAGUUUAUCUAAAACAAUAUCAAAACCAUUGCAUCCACAGCCUGUGUCUGCCCUCCUGUCCUCUUGCAUCCUGCUACUUUAAGACUCAGGGAACUACGCUCCUGGUUUUGCUGCUGUUUUAGCUUUAUAAAAAUGCU